rnacentral:rRNA from 1 species
CCAGACUCCUACGGGAGGCAGCAGUGGGGAAUAUUGCACAAUGGGGGAAACCCUGAUGCAGCGACGCCGCGUGAGUGAAGAAGUAUUUCGGUAUGUAAAGCCCUAUCAGCAGGGAAGAAAGAAGACGGUACCUGACUAAGAAGCCCCGGCUAACUACGUGCCAGCAGCCGCGGUAAUACGUAGGGGGCAAGCGUUAUCCGGAAUUACUGGGUGUAAAGGGAGCGUAGACGGUGAAGUAAGUCUGGAGUGAAAGGCGGGGGCCCAACCCCCGGACUGCUCUGGAAACUAUUUGACUGGAGUGCAGGAGAGGUAAGCGGAAUUCCUAGUGUAGCGGUGAAAUGCGUAGAUAUUAGGAGGAACACCAGUGGCGAAGGCGGUCUGCUGGACAGCAACUGACGGUGAGGCGCGAAAGCGUGGGGAGCAAACAGGAUUAGAUACCCGUGUA